CUUGGAUUUAUGAAAGACGAACAACUGCGAAAGCAUUUGCCAAGGAUGUUUUCAUUAAUCAAGAACGAAAGUUGGGGGCUCGAAGACGAUCAGAUACCGUCCUAGUCUCAACCAUAAACGAUGCCGACCAGGGAUCGGCGGAUGUUGCUUAUAGGACUCCGCCGGCACCUUAUGAGAAAUCAAAGUCUUUGGGUUCCGGGGGGAGUAUGG
rnacentral:rRNA from 1 species